rnacentral:rRNA from 1 species
CCCGCACAAGCGGAGGAACAUGUGGUUUAAUUCGAUGAUACGCGAGGAACCUUACCUGGGCUUAAAUGGGGAGUGACAGCUGUCGAAAGAUGGUUUUCUUCGGACACUCUUCAAGGUGCUGCAUGGUUGUCGUCAGCUCGUGCCGUGAGGUGUCGGGUUAAGUCCCAUAACGAGCGCAACCCUUACCGUUAGUUACCAUCAGGUUAAGCUGGGGACUCUAGCGGGACUGCCACCGUAAGGUGAGAGGAAGGUGGGGAUGACGUCAAAUCAGCACGGCCCUUAUGUCCAGGGCUACACACGUGUUACAAUGGCCAGUACAAAGGGCAGCUACCGGGUGACCGGAUGCUAAUCCCACAAAGCCGAUCGUAGUCCGGAUCGUAGUCUGCAACUCGACUACGUGAAGUCGGAAUCGCUAGUAAUCGCAGAUCAGCAUGCUGCGGUGAAUACGUUCCCGGGUCUU